rnacentral:rRNA from 1 species
GACGAACGCUGGCGGCGUGCUUAACACAUGCAAGUCGAACGAAGAGCGACGGAAGCUUGCUUCUAUCAAUCUUAGUGGCGAACGGGUGAGUAACGCGUAAUCAACCUGCCCUUCAGAGGGGGACAACAGUUGGAAACGACUGCUAAUACCGCAUACGAUCUAAUCUCGGCAUCGAGGAUGGAUGAAAGGUGGCCUCUACAUGUAAGCUAUCACUGAAGGAGGGGAUUGCGUCUGAUUAGCUAGUUGGAGGGGUAACGGCCCACCAAGGCGAUGAUCAGUAGCCGGUCUGAGAGGAUGAAUGGCCACAUUGGGACUGAGACACGGCCCAGACUCCUACGGGAGGCAGCAGUGGGGAAUCUUCCGCAAUGGACGAAAGUCUGACGGAGCAACGCCGCGUGAGUGAUGACGGCCUUCGGGUUGUAAAGCUCUGUUAAUCGGGACGAAAGGCCUUCUUGCGAAUAGUGAGAAGGAUUGACGGUACCGGAAGAGAAAGCCACGGCUAACUACGUG